rnacentral:rRNA from 1 species
GACGAACGCUGGCGGCGUGCCUAAUACAUGCAAGUAGAACGCUGAAGGAGGAGCUUGCUCUUCUGGAUGAGUUGCGAACGGGCGAGUAACGCGUAGGUAACCUGCCUGGUAGCGGGGGAUAACUAUUGGAAACGAUAGCUAAUACCGCAUAACAGUAGAUGUUGCAUGACAUUUACUUAAAAGGUGCAAUUGCAUCACCACCAGAUGGACCUGCGUUGUAUUAGCUAGUUGGUGGGGUAACGGCUCACCAAGGCGACGAUACAUAGCCGACCUGAGAGGGUGAUCGGCCACACUGGGACUGAGACACGGCCCAGACUCCUACGGGAGGCAGCAGUAGGGAAUCUUCGGCAAUGGACGGAAGUCUGACCGAGCAACGCCGCGUGAGUGAAGAAGGUUUUCGGAUCGUAAAGCUCUGUUGUAAGAGAAGAACGAGUGUGAGAGUGGAAAGUUCACACUGUGACGGUAGCUUACCAGAAAGGGACGGCUAACUACGUG